CCUAAUGCAAUGAUAAGGACCAGUAGAUAAUGCUGAUACGAAAGAGAUCGGAGUUCAGCGGCUGAAAGACUCCGACGUGCCUCACAUUAUUGAACCUGCCUUUGAGCGACAGGAAAACCUGUCCGUUCUCCCUCGUUACGGGUGAAGAAGAGUGCCGGAUUAUUCAUGUUCGGCAAAUUAAGGUGGUACCACGGAAGCAGCCCUUUCGUCCUUUUA
rnacentral:ncRNA from 1 species